AACGAACGCUGGCGGCAGGCUUAACACAUGCAAGUCGAACGCAUCGCAAGAUGAGUGGCAGACGGGUGAGUAACGCGUGGGAACGUACCCUUUACUACGGAAUAGCUCCGGGAAACUGGAAUUAAUACCGUAUGUGCCCUACGGGGGAAAGAUUUAUCGGUAAAGGAUCGGCCCGCGUUGGAUUAGCUAGUUGGUGGGGUAAAGGCCUACCAAGGCGACGAUCCAUAGCUGGUCUGAGAGGAUGAUCAGCCACAUUGGGACUGAGACACGGCCCAAACUCCUACGGGAGGCAGCAGUGGGGAAUAUUGGACAAUGGGCGCAAGCCUGAUCCAGCCAUGCCGCGUGAGUGAUGAAGGUCUUAGGAUUGUAAAGCUCUUUCACCGGGGAAGAUAAUGACGGUACCCGGAGAAGAAGCCCCGGCUAACUUCGUGCCAGCAGCCGCCGUAACAC
rnacentral:rRNA from 1 species